rnacentral:rRNA from 1 species
AUUGAACGCUGGCGGCAGGCCUAACACAUGCAAGUCGAGCGAGCGGCGGACGGGUGAGUAAUGUAUGGGGACUGCCUGAUCGAGGGGGAUAACGACGGGAAACGGUAGCUAAUAUCGCAAACUAUCGGAUGCCCCAUAUGGGAUUAGCUAGUAGGUGAGGUAAGGGCUCACCUGGGCGACGAUCCCUAGCUGGGCUGAGAGGAUAAGCAGCCACACGGGAACGGAGAAACGGCCCAGACUCCUACGGGGGCAGCAGUGGGGAAUAUUGCACAAGGGGCGCAAGCGUGAUGCAGCCAUGCCGCGGGGCUGAAGAAGGCCUUCGGGUUGUAAAGGACGUUCAGUCGGGAGGCGUUACCGGCAGAAGAAGCACCGGCUAACUCCGUGCCAGCAGCCGCGGUAAUUC